UACGUAGGGGGCUAGCGUUGUCCGGAAUCAUUGGGCGUAAAGCGCGUGUAGGCGGGUCCGGUAAGUCCGCUGUGAAAGUCGGGGGCUCAACCCUCGGAUGCCGGUGGAUACUGUCGGGCUUGAGUACGGAAGAGGCGAGUGGAAUUCCUGGUGUAGCGGUGAAAUGCGCAGAUAUCAGGAGGAACACCAAUUGCGAAGGCAGCUCGCUGGGACGUUACUGACGCUGGAGACGCGAAAGCGUGGGGAGCAAACAGG
rnacentral:rRNA from 1 species